UAGUUAUAUUGGGAAUCAAACCCACAGUGUUCGGCUUACCAGGCAGAUGCCAUGUCCACUAGGCUACCCU